rnacentral:rRNA from 1 species
GAUGAACGCUAGCGGGAGGCUUAAUACAUGCAAGUCGAGCGGUAAGGUUUUCGGACCCUAGAGCGGCGAACGGGUGAGUAACGCGUACGAAACCUACCUUUAAGAGAGGAAUAGCCCUGGGAAACUGGGAGUAAUACCUCAUAGUAUUCAUUUACCGCAUGGUUUAUGGAUUAAAGCUACGGCGCUUAAAGAUGGUCGUGCGUCUGAUUAGCUAGUUGGUAGGGUAACGGCCUACCAAGGCUACGAUCAGUAGGGGGCGUGAGANCGUGGNCCCCCUCACGGGUACUGAGACACGGACCCGACUCCUACGGGAGGCAGCAGUAAGGAAUAUUGGGCAAUGGACGCAAGUCUGACCCAGCCAUCCCGCGUGCAGGACGAAUGCCCUAUGGGUUGUAAACUGCUUUUGUUUGGGAAGAAAUGUAUUCUUUUAAGAGUAUUUGACGGUACCAGACGAAUAAGCACCGGCUAACUCCGUGCCAGCAGCCGCGGUAAUACGGAGGGUGCAAGCGUUAUCCGGAAUCACUGGGUUUAAAGGGUGCGUAGGCGGCCAGAUAAGUCAGAGGUGAAAGUUUCCGGCUCAACCGGGAGAUUGCCUUUGAUACUGUUUGGCUUGAAUCAGAUUGAGGUUGGCGGAAUGUGACAUGUAGCGGUGAAAUGCWWAGAUAUGUCAUAGAACAUCGAUUGCGAAGGCAGCUGGCCUGGAUCUGUA